rnacentral:rRNA from 1 species
UGAGGAAUAUUGGUCAAUGGGCGAGAGCCUGAACCAGCCAAGUCGCGUGAAGGAAGACAGUCCUAAGGAUUGUAAACUUCUUUUAUACGGGAAUAACGGGCGAUACGAGUAUUGCAUUGAAUGUACCGUAAGAAUAAGCAUCGGCUAACUCCGUGCCAGCAGCCGCGGUAAUACGGAGGAUGCGAGCGUUAUCCGGAUUUAUUGGGUUUAAAGGGUGCGUAGGUUGUUCGGUAAGUCAGCGGUGAAACCUGAGCGCUCAACGUUCAGCCUGCCGUUGAAACUGCCGGGCUUGAGUUCAGUGGCGGCAGGCGGAAUUCGUGGUGUAGCGGUGAAAUGCAUAGAUAUCACGAGGAACUCCGAUUGCGAAGGCAGCUUGCCAUACUGCGACUGACACUGAAGCACGAAGGCGUGGGUAGCAAACAGG